rnacentral:tRNA from 1 species
GGCGCGAUGGCGGAGUGGUUAACGCGAGAGACUAGAACUUGCUAAUCUCUUCCCUUCGGGGGCGUAGGUUCGAAUCCUGCUCGCGUCG